rnacentral:rRNA from 2 species
UUAAAUUGAAGAGUUUGAUCAUGGCUCAGAUUGAACGCUGGCGGCAGGCCUAACACAUGCAAGUCGAACGGUAACAGGAAGCAGCUUGCUGCUUUGCUGACGAGUGGCGGACGGGUGAGUAAUGUCUGGGAAACUGCCUGAUGGAGGGGGAUAACUACUGGAAACGGUAGCUAAUACCGCAUAACGUCGCAAGACCAAAGAGGGGGACCUUCGGGCCUCUUGCCAUCGGAUGUGCCCAGAUGGGAUUAGCUAGUAGGUGGGGUAACGGCUCACCUAGGCGACGAUCCCUAGCUGGUCUGAGAGGAUGACCAGCCACACUGGAACUGAGACACGGUCCAGACUCCUACGGGAGGCAGCAGUGGGGAAUAUUGCACAAUGGGCGCAAGCCUGAUGCAGCCAUGCCGCGUGUAUGAAGAAGGCCUUCGGGUUGUAAAGUACUUUCAGCGGGGAGGAAGG